UACCAGCACCCCGAGUGGUCGGGACGAUUAUUGGGCCUAAAGCAUCCGUAGCCGGUUUUACAAGUCCUCCGUUAAAUCCAACUGCUUAACAGAUGGGCUGCGGAGGAUACUAUAAGGCUAGGAGGCGGGAGAGGCAAGCGGUACUCAGUGGGUAGGGGUAAAAUCCUCUGAUCCAUUGAAGACCACCAGUGGCGAAGGCGGCUUGCCAGAACGCGCUCGACGGUGAGGGAUGAAAGCUGGGGGAGCAAACCG
rnacentral:rRNA from 1 species